rnacentral:tRNA from 1 species
GCCGACGUGGCUCGACAUAGAAAGGCGCUGCUCUUGUAAAGCAGAUCAUGCUGGUGCGAACCCAGUCGUCGGCUC